GGUUAAGCGACUAAGCGUACACGGUGGAUGCCCUGGCAGUCAGAGGCGAUGAAGGACGUGCUAAUCUGCGAUAAGCGUCGGUGAGGUGAUAUGAACCGUUAUAACCGGCGAUUUCCGAAUGGGGAAACCCAGUGUGUUUCGACACACUAUCAUUAACUGAAUCCAUAGGUUAAUGAGGCGAACCGGGGGAACUGAAACAUCUAAGUACCCCGAGGAAAAGAAAUCAACCGAGAUUCCCCCAGUAGCGGCGAGCGAACGGGGAGGAGCCCAGAGCCUGAAUCAGUGUGUGUGUUAGUGGAAGCGUCUGGAAAGGCGUGCGAUACAGGGUGACAGCCCCGUACACAAAAAUGCACAUAUUGUGAGCUCGAUGAGUAGGGCGGGACACGUGGUAUCCUGUCUGAAUAUGGGGGGACCAUCCUCCAAGGCUAAAUACUCCUGACUGACCGAUAGUGAACCAGUACCGUGAGGGAAAGGCGAAAAGAACCCCGGCGAGGGGAGUGAAAAAGAACCUGAAACCGUGUACGUACAAGCAGUGGGAGCCUCUUAAUGGGGUGACUGCGUACCUUUUGUAUAAUGGGUCAGCGACUUAUAUUCUGUAGCAAGGUUAACCGAAUAGGGGAGCCGAAGGGAAACCGAGUCUUAACUGGGCGUUAAGUUGCAGGGUAUAGACCCGAAACCCGGUGAUCUAGCCAUGGGCAGGUUGAAGGUUGGGUAACACUAACUGGAGGACCGAACCGACUAAUGUUGAAAAAUUAGCGGAUGACUUGUGGCUGGGGGUGAAAGGCCAAUCAAACCGGGAGAUAGCUGGUUCUCCCCGAAAGCUAUUUAGGUAGCGCCUCGUGAAUUCAUCUCCGGGGGUAGAGCACUGUUUCGGCAAGGGGGUCAUCCCGACUUACCAACCCGAUGCAAACUGCGAAUACCGGAGAAUGUUAUCACGGGAGACACACGGCGGGUGCUAACGUCCGUCGUGAAGAGGGAAACAACCCAGACCGCCAGCUAAGGUCCCAAAGUCAUGGUUAAGUGGGAAACGAUGUGGGAAGGCCCAGACAGCCAGGAUGUUGGCUUAGAAGCAGCCAUCAUUUAAAGAAAGCGUAAUAGCUCACUGGUCGAGUCGGCCUGCGCGGAAGAUGUAACGGGGCUAAACCAUGCACCGAAGCUGCGGCAGCGACACUAUGUGUUGUUGGGUAGGGGAGCGUUCUGUAAGCCUGUGAAGGUGGCCUGUGAGGGUUGCUGGAGGUAUCAGAAGUGCGAAUGCUGACAUAAGUAACGAUAAAGCGGGUGAAAAGCCCGCUCGCCGGAAGACCAAGGGUUCCUGUCCAACGUUAAUCGGGGCAGGGUGAGUCGACCCCUAAGGCGAGGCCGAAAGGCGUAGUCGAUGGGAAACAGGUUAAUAUUCCUGUACUUGGUGUUACUGCGAAGGGGGGACGGAGAAGGCUAUGUUGGCCGGGCGACGGUUGUCCCGGUUUAAGCGUGUAGGCUGGUUUUCCAGGCAAAUCCGGAAAACCAAGGCUGAGGCGUGAUGACGAGGCACUACGGUGCUGAAGCGACAAAUGCCCUGCUUCCAGGAAAAGCCUCUAAGCAUCAGGUAACAUCAAAUCGUACCCCAAACCGACACAGGUGGUCAGGUAGAGAAUACCAAGGCGCUUGAGAGAACUCGGGUGAAGGAACUAGGCAAAAUGGUGCCGUAACUUCGGGAGAAGGCACGCUGAUAUGUAGGUGAAGCGACUUGCUCGUGGAGCUGAAAUCAGUCGAAGAUACCAGCUGGCUGCAACUGUUUAUUAAAAACACAGCACUGUGCAAACACGAAAGUGGACGUAUACGGUGUGACGCCUGCCCGGUGCCGGAAGGUUAAUUGAUGGGGUUAGCGGUAACGCGAAGCUCUUGAUCGAAGCCCCGGUAAACGGCGGCCGUAACUAUAACGGUCCUAAGGUAGCGAAAUUCCUUGUCGGGUAAGUUCCGACCUGCACGAAUGGCGUAAUGAUGGCCAGGCUGUCUCCACCCGAGACUCAGUGAAAUUGAACUCGCUGUGAAGAUGCAGUGUACCCGCGGCAAGACGGAAAGACCCCGUGAACCUUUACUAUAGCUUGACACUGAACAUUGAGCCUUGAUGUGUAGGAUAGGUGGGAGGCUUUGAAGUGUGGACGCCAGUCUGCAUGGAGCCGACCUUGAAAUACCACCCUUUAAUGUUUGAUGUUCUAAC
rnacentral:rRNA from 1 species